rnacentral:rRNA from 1 species
CCUGCGGCGGCCUAUACAUGCAAGUCGAACGGUAACAGGCCCGGCAACGGGUGCUGACGAGUGGCGCACGGGUGCGUAACACGUAUGCAACCUACCCUGUACUGGGGGAUAACCCUGAGAAAUCGGGGCUAAUAUUCCAUGGUAAUAUAGAUGGGCAUCCAUUUAUAUUUAAAGAUUCAUUGGUACGGGAUGGGCAUGCGCCCCAUUAGUUAGUUGGAGAGGUAACGGCUCCCCAAGGCGAUGAUGGGUAGGGGUUCUGAGAGGAUUACCCCCCACACUGGUACUGAGACACGGACCAGACUCCUACGGGAGGCAGCAGUAAGGAAUAUUGGGCAAUGGAGGCAACUCUGACCCAGCCAUGCCGCGUGCAGGAAGACGGCCCUAUGGGUUGUAAACUGCUUUUGUAUGGGACUAACCGUGGUUACGUGUAGCCAUCUGCAUGUACCAUACGAAUAAGCAUCGGCUAACUCCGUGCCAGCAGCCGCGGUAAUACGGAGGAUGCGAGCGUUAUCCGGAAUUAUUGGGUUUAAAGGGUGCGUAGGCUGACAAGUAAGUCAGUGGUGAAAUACCCCGGCUUAACCGGGGGGUUGCCAUUGAAACUGUUUGUCUUGAGUGUAAUCGUAGUGGGCGGAAUGAGGUGUGUAGCGGUGAAAUGCAUAGAUAUACCUCAGAACACCGAUAGCGCAGGCAGCUCACUAGCUUACAACUGACGCUGAGGCACGAAAGCGUGGGUAUCAAACAGGAUUAGAUACCCUGG